CAGGGGCAGCUGCUGACCUCAUAAUGGCGGGAUCUGCUGUCCCUGGCCAGCCCACCAGCUGCUGGCCAGCUGCUGCCCCUGGCUGCCGGGCAUGUCCCUCCUCAGCAGCUAUGAGGGCCUGCGGCAGGAGAUCCAGCGGCUGGCACAAGAGAACGAGGAACUGCGGCGGCUUGUGCAGCUCAUACAGGAGAACCAAGAGCUGAAGCUGGUGCUCAGGAACCGGGGCAGCAGCCUGGGCUUCUGCAGCUCUGGGUUCCUGGCUGAGGUCACUGCCAGUCCCCGACCGGCUAGGCGAAGAACAAUCAAAUUCAAAGAUGCUGACAGAGUUCUCCCAGGGCUACCAGCUGAAGAGCCGCUACUGGCCACCAGUCCCACUAUCAUGGGCACCCCAGAGGGGCGCUUCCACUUUGCCAUCGACCGAGGAGGCACAUUCACAGACGUCUUUGCCCAAUGCCCUGGUGGGCACGUGCGGGUCUUGAAACUGCUCUCAGAGGAUCCUGCUAACUAUGUGGAUGCACCUACUGAGGGUAUCCGCCGCAUCCUGGAGCAGGAGGGGGGCAUGCCAUUGCCCCGGGACCGGCCACUGGACACUAGCCGCAUUGCCAGCAUCCGCAUGGGCACUACAGUGGCCACCAAUGCACUGCUGGAGCGGAGGGGGGAACGGGUGGCACUGCUGGUGACACGUGGCUUCCGAGACCUGCUGCACAUUGGCACCCAGGCCCGUGAGGACCUCUUUGACCUGGCCGUGCCCAUGCCUGAGGUGCUGUAUGAGGAGGUGCUGGAGGUAGAUGAGCGCGUGGUGCUGUACCGAGGGGAGCCAGGCGCCGGGACGCCCAUCAAAGGCCGCACAGGGGACCUGCUGGAAGUGCAGCGGCCGGUGGACCUGGGGGCCCUGCGUGGGAAGCUGGAGGGGCUCCUAUCUCGAGGCAUCCGCAGCCUGGCUGUGGUGCUCAUGCACUCGUACACGUGGACCCAGCACGAGCAGCAGGUGGGUGCACUGGCCCGGGAGCUGGGCUUCACUCACGUGUCCCUGUCCUCGGAGGCCAUGCCCAUGGUACGCAUUGUUCCUCGGGGGCACACGGCCUGUGCCGACGCCUACCUCACACCCACCAUACAGCGCUAUGUGCAGGGCUUCCGCCGAGGCUUCCAGGGCCAGCUCAAGGAUGUACAGGUGCUGUUUAUGCGCUCUGAUGGCGGCCUGGUGCCCAUGGACACCUUCAGUGGCUCCCGUGCUGUGCUCUCAGGCCCCGCUGGUGGUGUAGUUGGCUACUCAGCCACCACCUACCAGCUGGAGGGCGGCCAACCUGUCAUCGGCUUUGACAUGGGAGGCACAUCCACAGAUGUGAGCCGCUAUGCUGGGGAAUUUGAACAUGUCUUUGAGGCCAGCACAGCUGGUGUCACCCUCCAGGCCCCUCAGCUGGACAUUAACACAGUGGCAGCUGGGGGAGGCUCCCGGCUCUUCUUCAGGUCUGGCCUUUUUGUGGUUGGGCCCGAGUCAGCGGGAGCUCACCCAGGCCCUGCUUGCUACCGCAAAGGGGGCCCUGCAACAGUGACGGAUGCUAAUCUGGUCCUGGGUCGCCUGCUGCCUGCCUCCUUCCCCUGCAUUUUUGGGCCGGGAGAGGACCAGCCACUAUCCCCUGAGGCCUCCCGCAAGGCCUUGGAGGCUGUGGCCACUGAGGUCAACAGCUUCCUGACCAACGGGCCCAGCCCGGCCUCCCCGCUGAGCCUGGAGGAGGUGGCCAUGGGGUUUGUGCGUGUGGCCAACGAGGCUAUGUGCCGGCCCAUCCGUGCACUCACGCAGGCACGAGGCCAUGACCCCUCGGCCCAUGUGCUGGCCUGCUUCGGGGGAGCUGGUGGGCAGCAUGCUUGUGCCAUUGCUCGGGCCCUGGGCAUGGACACAGUGCACAUCCACAGGCACAGUGGGCUGCUGUCAGCACUGGGGCUAGCCUUGGCAGAUGUGGUACAUGAAGCACAGGAGCCCUGUGCCCUGUCCUAUGCACCUGAGACCUUUGUGCAGCUGGACCAGAGGUUGAACCGUCUGGAGGAGCAAUGCAUGGAUGCCCUCCGGGCCCAGGGCUUCUCCAGGUCUCAGAUCAGCACUGAGAGCUUUCUGCAUCUGCGCUACCAGGGCACAGACUGUGCCCUGAUGGUAUCUGCCCACCAGCACCCGGCCACAGCCCGGUCACCCCGGGCUGGCGACUUUGGGGCAGCCUUUGUGGAGAGGUAUAUGAAGGAGUUUGGCUUUGUCAUCCCUGAGCGGCCAGUGGUGGUGGACGACGUGAGAGUGAGGGGCACCGGUCACAGCAGGCUUCGCCUUGAGGAUGCCCCUAAAGUCCAGACCGGGCCUCCCCGGGUAGACAAGAUGACCCAGUGCUACUUUGAGGGGGGCUACCAGGAAACCCCUGUGUACCUGUUGGGAGAGCUGGGCUAUGGGCACAAGCUCCAGGGGCCCUGCCUCAUCAUCGACAGCAACAGCACCAUCCUAGUGGAGCCAGGUUGCCAGGCAGAGGUGAUUGAGACAGGGGACAUCCGCAUCUCUGUGGGGGCUGAAGCCUCCAGUACAGUGGGCACUCAGGUUGACCCCAUCCAGCUGUCCAUCUUCUCACACCGUUUCAUGAGCAUUGCUGAGCAGAUGGGCCGUAUCCUGCAGCGCACAGCCAUCUCCACCAACAUCAAGGAGCGCCUUGACUUCUCCUGUGCCCUCUUUGGGCCUGACGGGGGGCUGGUCUCCAAUGCUCCCCACAUCCCUGUGCACCUUGGUGCCAUGCAGGAGACUGUGCAGUUCCAGAUCCAGCACUUGGGGGCUGACCUCCACCCUGGUGAUGUGUUGCUGAGUAACCACCCCAGCGCGGGGGGCAGCCAUCUUCCAGACCUGACUGUCAUCACACCGGUGUUUUGGCCAGGUCAGACACGGCCUGUGUUCUAUGUGGCCAGUCGAGGGCACCACGCAGACAUUGGGGGCAUUACCCCGGGUUCCAUGCCCCCCCACUCCACCUCGCUGCAGCAGGAGGGGGCCGUCUUCCUAUCUUUCAAACUUGUCCAGGGGGGUGUCUUCCAGGAGGAGGCGGUGACUGAAGCCCUGCGGGCUCCAGGCAAGAUCCCUACCUGUAGUGGAACAAGGAAUCUGCAUGACAACCUGUCAGAUCUUCGUGCCCAGGUGGCAGCCAACCAGAAGGGCAUCCAGUUGGUGGGGGAGCUCAUUGGGCAGUAUGGCCUGGAUGUGGUGCAGGCUUACAUGGGCCAUAUUCAGGCAAAUGCUGAGUUGGCAGUUCGUGACAUGCUGAGGACCUUUGGAAGUUCUCGGCAGAACCGGGGCCUGCCUCUGGAGGUGUCUGCAGAGGACCACAUGGAUGACGGUUCCCCCAUCCGCCUCCGUGUGCAGAUCAACCCAAGUCAGGGCAGUGCAGUGUUUGACUUCAGCAGCACUGGGCCUGAGGUAUUUGGCAACCUCAACGCACCUCGGGCCAUAACGCUGUCCGCCCUCAUCUACUGCUUACGCUGCCUAGUAGGCCGGGACAUCCCACUCAACCAGGGCUGCCUGGCACCAGUGCGGGUCGUGAUUCCCAGAGGUUCCAUCCUGGACCCCUCCCCCGAGGCGGCGGUGGUAGGCGGCAAUGUGCUCACGUCGCAGCGCGUGGUAGAUGUCAUCCUCAGGGCCUUUGGAGCCUGUGCAGCUUCCCAGCCACUUGCCCUGGACAGGGCUGCAUGAACAACGUGACCCUGGGCAAUGCCCACAUGGGCUACUAUGAGACGGUGGCAGGCGGCACAGGCGCGGGCCCUGGCUGGCAUGGGCGCAGCGGCGUGCACAGCCACAUGACCAACACACGCAUCACUGACCCCGAGAUCCUGGAGAACCGGUACCCGGUCAUCUUGCGCCGUUUCGAGCUGAGGCCGGGCUCUGGGGGCCGAGGCCGCUUCCGUGGUGGUGACGGUGUGAUCCGUGAGCUGCUUUUCCGAGAGGAGGCUCUACUAUCAGUGCUGACAGAGCGCCGUGCCUUCAGGCCGUAUGGCCUCCAGGGGGGUGAGCCUGGUGCCCGUGGCCUAAACCUGCUGAUCCGUAAGGAUGGCCGGGCAGUGAAUCUGGGUGGGAAGACGUCGGUGCCCGUGUACCCAGGGGAUGUAUUCUGCCUCCACACGCCAGGUGGUGGGGGCUACGGGGACCCGGAGGACCCCGCCCCACCGCCAGGGUCGCCCCCGCAACCCCUGGCCUUCCCCGAGCGUGGCAGCGUCUAUGAUUACCGCCGGGCCCAGGAGGCUGUGUGAGGGCCUCCACAAUAAAGAUCCGUUCAGCCCCCUGGUUCUUAGGGUGUGGCUACCGGGCC